UAAGAGUAAAGGUUGGAGGAUAGCGGUGGAACGUGGAGGGUUUUGGAGAAGAAAGAAAAGGACAAAGUUAAAGGGAAGUAAACGUCAACCAAAAAGCAGCUACAGUAUGUCAUAUCUCUGUAUAUACAUCGCACACAUAGCAUACUCCAGAGAGAGAGAGUUUUGGAGCUCAGUAAACUCUCAGCUAUGGCAGACCCAGCAAGUUUCAUUGCCAGCUGGUUAACUCCCUCUUCUCUCUUCAUCUUCGUCAACCUCGUCAUAGGAACAAUAGCAAUCACUUCUCGCUUCACUUCCAAAAACCACCACCCUCAUCUCGCUCCUUCACCCUCUCUUGUACAACGAGUCAGCUCCUUCAAUCUCACUCACUACUAUACCCAUCAUCACCACCCAGACCCAGACUUCACUCACCCCCAACUCGUUCCAACACCCUCGUUAUUGCAGCGAGUCAAGUCCUUCAAUCUCUCCUUCCGCAAACUCGAACCCACACAUGCAGAAAUACAGAACCUCCAACCCCAACACGCCCAACCUACAAACCCGGAACUGGUUCGGACACCCUCCCGGUUGGAGCGCCUCACAUCUCUCGAUCUUUCUCUUACGAAUCAAGAACCCACGAAUGCACAAACACAGCACGUGCAACCCGAAGCAGAACCAGAACAGCCAGAACUGGUUCGGAGUCCCUCGCUCUUGCAGCGGCUACAGUCCAUAAACUUGUCGCGUCUGUAUAGAUCGGAGUCCAUACACGGAGAGGAUCCGAGUGACGGGUCGGGUAAGGCGGAGAUGAGGAAAUCGGCGAGCGAGAGAAGGGGCUCGAUAGAACGCGAAGAGGAAGAGGAGGUGGAGAGACGGAGACCACAAACGGCGAGGGUUGAAGCGACGUCGUGUAGAGAAGACGAAGAGGUGGACGCGAAAGCUGAUGAUUUCAUCAAUAGGUUCAAGAAGCAGUUGAGAUUGCAGAGGAUUGACUCUCUUAUCCGUUACAGAACAGGUAGCUGAUAAUAUCUGUGGAAGAACCGAAACAGGGCACAAUCUUCACUAAAUCUAUACCUUUUCGUUUCAUACCUCUACUUUUAUUUUUAGUAUAAUACUGGUGUGUAUUAAGAAACCAUAACUUGGUUAGUAUGCUAAAGUUCGUUACAAGUCUUUUAAUUAUUUUAUAUCUGUAUGUGUGUUAUAUAGUACUAAAAAAAUAAUAAAUAUUCAUUCUAAAGUCCACAUUCUUAAAGAAAAUUAGAUGCUUAUAUAAUUAUGAAUAGGAUUUAUUAUAUAGUAAUAUUACAUCAUGAAUAUCUAUUAAAAGGUUUGGGCAUUAAAAUAGGAAAUGGAAGAAAAAUUAUUAUCUUCACACACUUAAAUUUUUUAUAUUUAUUUUGAUAAUAUUUUUAUUUAUUAUUUUUUGAAAAAAAAUACAAAAGUUAAAAUUUUUAUAACUAUUUUAUUUCUAAACUUUAAAUGUAAAAAUAUAUCUCAGUAUUAUUACUCAAUUAGAAGGUGUUUCAUAAGUUCUUAUUUUUUUUAUAUAUUAAUAAGUAAAUUAAUUACUGCUAGGAAGAAAAUGAGAGAGUUUAGAUAUUUUGUAAAAAUAAUAAUGAAUAUAAGUGAUAUUAUAGUAAGUAUCUCUUAUAAAAUAUUAAUUAUAUUUAUAAAAUUAACAAAUAUUAUAAAUUUAUUAUGAAUUUAGAUGGUGUAUUUUAUUAUAUUUAUUGAACCAAAUAAAAACAUUAUUUAAUUUGUUAAGUGUAUCUACGAGUUAAUUAAAUGUGAACAAGAUUCAUAGUUUUCUAUUUAUUUAGAUGAGUUUUUCUUAAUUGGUGUGGUAGUAUAUAUAAUUUUAUUUAUUUAUUUUGUAAAUGUAUUUAACUAAACUAAAAAAGUAUUAAAAAUAUCAGUUUACUGAUUUAGCUUCAAAUAAUUGAUUAUAUACCACCUUAAAUGUUAUUGCAAUUUUAUCUCUUUAGAAAUAAAAGAUACAACCAGUAAUUCAUAUAAUGUUUAAACUAAAGAAAUUUAAUUAUUAUUUGUUUUUGUCAUGUAUCAAAUUUUCUCAUGUGAUAUUGGUCAUGUUCAGAUUCAUUAUAAUGAUUAAUAACAAUUUAAAGUUUAUAAGUUAAAUAUCAAAGUAAUUUAUAUUGAAGGUCAAUGAUUAUAUAUAAAAUUUUUAAAUCUUAUAUUUACUUAAAGUAAAUACAAAAGAAAGAAGAUAAUUAUAUUUACUUUAAUUAAAUACAAAAGAAAGAAGAUAAGCAUUUGCAGUCUCAUGUGUAUAAAAAACCCAUAAUAUAUAUAAAAGAGUCUCUUAACAAGAUUUAUAUUGAUUUUUUUUAAAGAUUAUUUGUUUAUAUUUAUCUGAGAGUCUUCUCUUAUAUUGUUGUUAUCUUAUUUUCAUGUUAAAUUAAAUUUUUUUAGUCGUCUUCUUUAAGUUAUAAUUCGAUACGUGUUUUAGUAACAAAAUUACUCUCUUCUUACUUCUCCUAAUUAAGAUCAUAUGAGUUAUGAGUAUUUUAAGAGACAUAGUUACACUAAUAAAUCGUUAAUAAGUAUCACUAAUUUAUCAAGAAUUUUAAGCAUUCAUAAUAUAUAUAGUGAGUAAUUGAAUGUGAUUGAUGAAUAUAUUUUAUGUGAUAUUAUGUUGAACUUAAAUAUAUUGUGAUUUGGUAACAACUAAAAUGAUGGUAUAAUGUCAUAUAUACGAUAUUCCAAGAGAAAAAUGCACAAUUAGAAAAUAUAAUGUAAUUUAUGCCUAUUUGUAUUUUAGUUUGUUCUGUUAUAGCUAUGUAUUGAUAUAUUUGAAAAAAAAAUAGCAAAUAAAUUGCUUUGAUAAGAACAACAUUUAUUGAUCUUAGAGUAAUCCUCCCUGUACCUCCUGGAUCUCGUCCUGUACCUCCUACUCCACUUUUAAUUCCAACUGUACCCCUAUAUCUGUAACCAUAUUCAUUGAGUUUAUAAAAAGUAUCUUUAUCUGCCGCAACUCAGAGAAAAAACCCUACACCCCCUAUUUUCAUCUUCCCUUCCUUUGACCAGUCUUCCUCCCCUUCCCUCCCUCCAACCAGUGCAGCUCGUAACUUGGUGCUAUCUUGACCUUGGGCUGUCAGCGUAGCAGAGUAGAGUAGCUGGGUAGUGUUUGAAGUUUUUUUCUGGCGUCAAGAGGUUAGUAUUUCUCCUUUGGUAGAUGUAGAUCUGGGUUCGUUUUGGGGCAUGGAACCGCAAGUCAUUUUGCGUUAAGGAGUGUCGCAGCUCGAUCAGCGUCUGAAACCAACCGCCGAUGGAUCUGCGGUUGGUUUGGUUUUGGGGUGCACGGCAGAAACGCAGCUCAAAUUGUGGUUGGCAUAACACGCAGCUCAGACUACGUUGGGUGAUAAACGCAGCUCAGACUGCGUUUGAGGGAAACGCAGCUGAGACUACGGUUUAGGAGUAGCAUUUUUUUUUUAAUUUUUUUUUCAAAACGUUGUUUUUUUAAUUUUAGGUUGUUUGUUAAUUUUUUUUAAGUUUAUAAAAUUUUAUAUAUUAUUUAUUAUUAAUGUUAUUUAGAUUAAGUAUUAAUUAUGAUUUUAGAUUAAGUAUUAAUUAAUUUAUUGGGAGAAACGCAUUAGGAAAUGCGGUUUGGAAAAACCGCAUUUCGAAGUGCGGCAAAGGAAAACACAUUUCGAAAUGCGGUUAAGAGAAACCGCAAUUCGAUUUGCGGCGAAUAGUAAACGUCGUUCGAACGGCGGCAAGGUUAACCGCACCACGAAAGGUUCGUCUUCCUCUUCGCACCCCCUAUGCGAGCUUCCUCUUCCUCCUCGCACUUCCUCUUUCUCCUCGCACCAGCUAUCACCAACACAAGCACACAGUGGUUCACCACCACAGAAUCACUAACUCUCAAGUCAAUAAAACAGUGAAUAAGAAAACUAUUCUUGCUCCUGAUGUAACCAACAAAGGGGGUGCAUGCUAGGGUUUAUACCCUCAGCCAGAAAAGUUGUUGGAAGUUAGGAAGGUAUAAUGUUCAUUAAUUGCAUUUUGACUUUUUAUUAAAUGAAGGACAGAAAGGUAAUUUUGGAUGUGCAGGAAGAAGGAGGUGAGGUGUAGGGAGAACCGCUCUUGAUCUUAUCAAGCCAUUGUUGGGACCUGUGAUUAACUUUUGGUUCAAUGUUUCAAAUGAUGAGGACUUUUGAUUAAGAUUAAAGUACUUUUUUGAAAACGCAAUGUAUUGGUUAUUGACUACCUAGUCUUUCUCUGUCCAGAAGAGACAUAAUUUCUGACCGAAAUUCUAGUAGAGAAUAAACGCAUUUGUUUAGAGUGAUUUGUUCCUACAUUAAUAUUUUUAAGAGAAAUUGUAAAAUUAGAGUAAAAAUUUUAUGAUAAUUUUGUUGUUCUGAGUUGAAGAAAUAUGAAUGGAAAGUAUGAAAAGAGUAAAAAGUAAAAAUUGUGAUUGGAAUAAGGAUGAUAAUGGCAUAGAAAUUGUUGAAACAUUGGGUUGGGUGGUGUAGGUUCACCUGCAACAUGCUAAAAAUACAGUUAAAAUGGCUAAUCUAAAGGCUAAACCUCUUCGAAGGUCCUUAUUUACGUAAGUUUUUCCCAGUUUCAUCCCCAUCUUUUUCUUUUUCCCAAUUUGAUCCUUUAUAGUGAAUAAUUGACUCAAUUAAGUCUUCGCCGUUAAAUGAACUUAACCCCAUCAAAUUUUUACUGACUUGUGAGGGUGACAUGGUUAUUAUUUAAAACGUGGCUUGCUCAUUGCGUCAUAUGUGGUUUAAUAAUAUUUUCUUGUAUUAUCAUUAUUUGAUCACACUUAAAAUAUUAUUUUUAAAUUCUAUUUAUCUUAUUUUUAAUAAUACUUUUCUCUUUGCAGCAAAAGUUCAGUUAGAACCCAUCUACCAUUGUAGGGCACUUUAAAGGUGGAAACUGUGACACCCGGACACUGACGAGGGCGGGGAGUGAUCGCCGGUGCAAGAAGCAUGGUGUAGGGGGCACAGACAAGGAGCGACUGCUGGCAGGCUUCGAGUGGAAGGGGCACAUGGACGAAUCGAACAUACACCGGAAUGAGAGGGAUCUGGAGAUUGUAUAGGUAUAGGACUAUACAGUUGAAGGAUAGCUUAAAGGAAUUGAUUUGACUACUCAUAUCAACAAAUGCAUUUGCUUUUCGGUAGCCUAACUCAUAAGAACUCCAUGGUUAAGCGUGCUUAGCCUAAAGUAAUUAUGGGAUGGGUGACCUUCCGGGAAGUUUUCUCGGAAAGUGUGUGAGUGAGGACAAAGCACACUGGAAAGCCUGGUGUUGAUGUGUGGGGGCAGUCAGCAGUCCCUGUAAGUUGCCGGGACGUUACAAAUGGUAUCAGAGCCUAACCUCUCCCAGUACGGUGUGGUUCGAGGAUGAACCAGACGAAAGCUGGUGGGCAUCUGACACCCGGGCACUGACGAGGGCGGGGAGUGAUCGCCGGUGCAAGAAGCAUGGUGCAGGGGGCACGGACAAGGAGCGACUCCUGGCAGGCUUCGAGUGGAAGGGGCACAUGGACGAAUCGAACAUACAUCGGAAUGAAAUGAAUUGAUUUGACUACUCAUAUCAACAAAUGCAUUUGCUUUUUGGUAGCCUAACUCAUAAGAACUCCAUGGUUAAGCGUGCUUAGCCUAAACUAAUUAUGGGAUGGGUGACCUUCCGGAAAGUUUUCUUGGAAAUUGUGUGAGUGAGGACAAAGCACUGGAAAGCCUGGUGUUGAUGUGUGGGGGCAGUCAGCAGUCCCUGUAAGUUGCCGGGGCGUUACAGAAACCACCAUAAACAAUUUCAAAUCCCAAACAAAAACACAACCAUAUCAAGAAACAAGAUUUUUCAAACCAGAAUUCGAACCUCAAACUUAAUUUGAGAAACAAGAUCGCAGCUCCUAAAAAGAAUUCUCAAACCAAAAAUCCCAAUUUUAACAUAAAAACUCUAAAUUCCUAAUUAGCGAUUCAGGAAAUCCUAAACCCCAAAAUUUUCAUUUCGUAACCAUCAAGAAUCACAAUCGUGCCUUUGCUUUAGAAGUUGAUUCGUCAUCCUCAGCUUCAAAGCGACAUUUGAAGAUUUUGGGUACCCACAUGGAGUUUCUGGAGUUUCUGGGAGUUUACUUUGAAUUAUUUAGAAUUCAAUCAUCUUCGCCGCUGUUGUGGGUGGCCUCUAGAGGGUUACAGACAGAGUCUAAUAAGAAGAAGGCCAUGGUGGUUCUGGAGCAUCGACGGAAGUGGUGGUGGCUGCGUAGGGAUGGCGACGUCAGGCCGACUUCUCUCAGUGUGUUUCUUGAGGUGGAAUGGUAGUGCGGCGACAACACGUUUUAUGGUGCGGUAGCAGAAAUUGAAGGAAUGGUGAUGAAUUCGCCGAGGAACCACCGAGCUUUAUUUUUCGAUAGGAGGGUUCUUCCUCCGUUUGCCAAUUUUUCGAAGGAAUGGUGAUGGAUUUGCCACUUCCAUCUUGCCUCUUCAAACACUGUGAAGAACCCACUGUUUGCCAAUUUUAAUCCAUGAAGAACGAACCUAAAUUCCUAAUUCCUCACACCCUAAAUCCAUCAUCAAAUCCAUUCAGAAAAUUACAUUGCAAUCUUCAACAACAACGACGAACCCUAUAAUUUUCCUAAAUUUAUAAAAUCUACAGCUUUUAAAAAUGUUUCAAAAAUAAUUGUUAAAAUGUUUAUUUAAGAAGAUGCCACGUAGAAGGUUUGACUAACAAAAACCACGUAUAACCGUAUUAGCAAACCACGACUGAAAUAACAUCCACUUCACUCUGACAGGUCAUCAAAAAUUUAACAUCGUUAAAUUUAUUUAACAACGAGGAAUUAAUUGAGUCAAUUAUUUACUAUAAAUGAUCAAAUUGGUAAAAAUAAAAAGAACGAGGAUGAAACUGAUAUAAACUUAUAUAAAUAGGGACCUUGAAAGAGGUUUAACCUAAUCUAAAAGUCAGGUCCAAGGAUCCAAAGCCUAUAGUCUCCGGAACCUUCCUCCUGUUCCUGCUAUAUUGGAUCAUAGAUAAAACAAAAUUAUAUAAAGAAGUUCCCUUCAUUUAUUCUCAUAAAAUAAAAAAUAAAAUUAAUUGUCUCAUAAAAAUCAUCACAACUAGAAAUUUAUUAUUAUUAUCAUUUUAUUAUUUAUUAUUUUUAUUGUUGAAUCUGUAACUUUUUAUAUUUUUAUAGUGUGAUGUGAAGACAUUUAAGUUAUGUGAAUAUAAAUAAUAUUAUUCUCCUUAAAAAAAUUAUUUAUUUUAUAUAACAAUGUUAAAAAAAUAAAAAAAAAUUACACCGUUUUUGUUAUAAAUACUCCAGUUUAAGGAUGCUGUUAAAAUUUUGGAGUUUCAUUUCUCCCUCAUACUAAAAACAUAUUUCAUAGUAAUAUUAUUGAAAACCUAAUUUUGUACUCGAUCCUUUCUAAACUAAAUUGUUCAGUUUACUUCUAUUUAUGUUUAUUUUUCUAUUGCUAUUCCACUAUUACAUAUUUAAAAAAUUUUGGUUAUAAGUUACAGAUGGCACAUAAGUUUUAGAGUCCUGUUAUACAGAGAUGUUAAAUGAAACGAUUAAACAUAGGUCAAACAUUGUUGCUAAAUUAAAUUUUUCUGAAAAUUUUACCCUACAGUUCUAAAUGGAUAGUUUAUUCACGUUCAAACUCUAUUCUAUAUGGGUAGUUUUCUUAAAAUUUGACUUCAAAAGUGAUACUAAAUGUUACAGGUUUAUAAACAAAGUUUGCAUAGUGUGAAAUAUUCUCUGGAGAGCGAAACGAAUUAUUUAAAGGCUCAUUUAUGAAAAUGAAGAAUUUUGAUUCUAAUUAUCUGAUAUCUAUACGUAACAGAUAAAUUAUAGUACCUAUUUUCUUAUGUAUAAAGAAAUGAAAUUAUUGCACCAUAGACAAUGUGGAAAAACUACACAUUCAUAACAAGGAACCUAAUCGAUAAAUAAUUUCAUUCGACAAUAAUGAAAUAAAAGUAAAGAGUCAAAAACAUAAUAUUCAUGAUUUAAAGUGAGUAAGGGUAAUAUCAAGAAUUGUAAUGAUACUAGUCUCAUUUGAGAAAUCAAGGUUCAAGAUGAAGAAAAGAACAAAAAGGAAUCACAAGAAAAAUAAAUAAAUUUAUUGUGAAUAAAAUAUGUCAAUAACUAUAAAAAUAUGUUACUAAAUUUGAUAGAAAAUCUUGUCGAUAACUAAUGAUAACCAAAAUUUAUUAAUAAUUAUAUUUUGAUAAUAAUUUAUUGUUAAAUAUUCAUUGAUAAUUAUUGAUAAAAUUUUAAAUAGUGUGAUUUAUUUUUUUCUCUUGUUUUCGUUUUUCUUUCUUCAUUAACAUAUUAUUUUUUAUGUCUGAUUUAGAUAACCCGUAAAUACAAGAGACGUAAACGUCAGGUAAACGAUUGGAAUUGAAAGUUUAGAGUUACAAAAUUAAAACGAUGAGUUUAGAAAAAAAACAUAUGCAGUUCAGUUAGUAAAAAAAGAUGAUAAAAAAAAUGCCAUAAUUUACAAAAUAAUUUAUUUAUGGAAAUAUUUGCCGAUAAUAAAUAUUAUAAGUUAUGAAUAAAUUUUAUCGAUGAAUCCGUCCAAUAAAUAUUUCAGAUAGUAAUAAAAGUUUCCAUGAUAAAUCCAUUACUUUUAUUCAUUAAGGGUAAGAUGGACAUUUUAGCACCCGUGGUUCAGGUUGAAAUGCACAAAGAUUUUGGCACCCGUGAAUGGUAUGCUAGUCUUCGGGCCUUAUUAUUGGGCUAACUUUGUUUAGGUAUCUUCGUAGCGCUCAACGACUAGAGAGUGGAACAAAAGCUAUUAUUAAUAUAAUUUAUUAUCGAUUUUUUUUUUUUUUACAUUUAUUUGAUAUUAUCUCUCUUUAUUUUUAUUUAUUUAUUUUAAAAUUAUAAAAAUUCAUUCUUUUAAGAUUAUUUUAUUUUUAUUAGAUGUAUGAAAUAAAUGUUAACGUGCGUUACACUGCCCUUCUCAAAAAAAUUAAUUUACAGGAUCUAGUGAGUAGAACGAUUCUCUGAAAUCCCCCGUUAGAGAGCACAAAGAUAUCCCUCCAAGUAUAUUUUAACUUUUAAAAUCGUUGUUAAGACUGACUGAUGGUGGUAGAACUGUACUAGAAAUAUCUUUCGCAAUCUUAAAUGGGCCACGGAGGUAUUCCCAUUAAGGGUUAUGGUUGAAGUCAGAAGUCUGGUUCUAUUCUAGAGAAUUUGUCCACACAAUGAGAUACAUGUGUGAUAUAUAUGACCAAAAAUACUCAUCAAACCAUUUCGUGUAUCAAGUUGGAAGAAAUUCAUAGUUCAUCACAUGGAGCAAGUGGCACGCUGUUGAUCAGUAUGCACAAAAGUAAUUUUUCGUUCAUCUUGGUUAAGCACGUGCAUCAUCUUUUUAAUCACAUUCUUCAAACUCACAAAAACGUUUACCACAUAUAUACGUGAUGAAGUGUAAAGGGUAGCUCUAUAUGUUACUUCACGUUGCAGCACAAAGAAAAAGAACCCUAACCUAAAAGGCGGUUAUGUUAUCUAUUAAUUCAAAGUCAAUGAAACACACAAAUAUACAUAUAUGUUAUGCAUACUAAGAAGUGUGUUAAUGGAGGUACACUAACAACUCACACUGAUGCUAACAUAAUUGAGCAAGUGUGGACUUUAAUCAUUGUCAACACAUCAUUUUUUAUUUUUCUGAUAUUGUGUCAGAGAGGUUUUCCGUCACAGGAAUGUUGUAAGAUACAUAACUGAUUUACAUGUACAGAAGAAAAUUCCUCCUUGCGUAUCAGAUAAUUAUUAUUGCCAGGUCAACUGUUUAGCAAAUUAUUGGUUGACCACCACAAAUUGUCACACGUAAUACCGAUUAUUAAUUGAAAUUAGUAUAAAGUCUAAAGGAAAAAACAAAGCUCGAUCUUCAACAUUUGACCACAAUUUUAUAAACUCCGUCCAAGAACUUGUUUAUGACGUGAUCGGCAAAAAGAUAAUGCAGCUAAACAAGUGGAUGAAAAUCGAAGUUUCUGCAGCCUAAAGCGUGCAAAUGAAAAAGGAAAUUUACAGCACUAAAGGCGUAUAAAUCUAAGCAACAACAAUACAUAUAUAUGUAUACAAUAUUAUAGUAGAGCACGAGGUCGUUGCAUUCGCCAAAAAAAUCAUCUUCUUUUCUUUUCUUUCCUAUAUAAACAUGUAACUAAACAAUAACACUUUCAUAGCCAAAUUCAAAACAAGAGUGCAUUAACCAAAUUAUCAAGUCCCUCGUCUCUUCCAAAAUGGGAAGUUAUUUUAGAUUUUCAAAAGCUUUUGUUGUGCUAGGGUUAGCCUUCACAGUGCUGUCACAGGCACAAUCACAACCUUGGUCGUUACUCCAAGCACCAAAUGACCUAACCCUGAAGCUUAUUCGUGAUCCUGUGAUCCUUUCACUGGCCUCAACCGACUAUGGCCACAUAGUUCAUGACAACCCUUUUGCGAUAUUUUCCCCAUCGUCCAUCAGUGACAUCUCUCUGUUGAUAAAUUUCUCGAACUCUCUUGCCAUCCCUUUCACCAUAGCUCCCAGAGGGCAAGCACACUCGGUGAAUGGACAAGCCAUGGCAAAUGAUGGGGUUGUGGUAAACAUGACCGAGUUGAAUGGGUUCAGAAACGGGGCUGGGAUUGUAGUAGUGUCUGAUGGCAGAACAAAUGCUCCAUAUGCUGAUGUGGGUGGAGAACAAAUUUGGAUUGAUGUAUUGCAUGCAACACUUGAGCAUGGACUCACCCCACUCUCUUGGACUGAUUAUUUGUUCUUAUCGGUUGGUGGAACUCUCUCCAAUGCUGGGAUCAGUGGCCAAUCCUUCAGGUUUGGUCCUCAGAUUUCCAAUGUUCAUGAAUUGGAUGUUGUUACAGGUAUGGAUUAUUAUAUAUAUUCUCUUCCCCUGCUAAUAUCUAUUCCAGAUUAAUUUGCAUUAAAGUUCAUCACCAUUCACACAAAGAUGAAUUCAAGGUUUUAUAAUCUUAAAUUGUUUAAUAUACUUCAUUGACAAAAUCGGUCUAAUAUAUUACUAUGCAGACAUGUGAUAUAUCUUUUUAAAGUUUUAUAUAAAUUAUUGUUAUUUAAUUUUUUGCUGUCUGAUUUAUAUAUGAUUUUUUUUUAUAAUAAUUAUAACUCAAUGGCAAGAGCGAUGAAAAAUCGUAUUUUUGAUUGUUAAAUAAAAUAAUACUGUCAACGUACUACUAGACUCAUCUUCUCUGUCCUUUUAUUUCUGCAUCAUCAACUAUAAAAUUUGGGGAAGGAUCAAACAAAACGUCAAGAAUAAUGAAAGGCAUACGUACUAAAUAGUUAUUCUAUAUGAGUAUCCGUUUUUUUUUUUUUUUUUUUUUUUUUAAAUUUCUUGAGUACAUCCAUUAAACUAAGACCCCUUGAACAUCUUGGGGUAUAUUAUAUAUUAACAAAAAAGUCAGAUGAAUGGGUUUUAUUAAAUGAACUCAGAAUUCAAUGAAGCAUGUUGAUUAAGCUAACUUGAUUGGUCACAUCAUAUCCCUACAGAAGAUUUUAAUCUUGUCUCUUUAUGAUGUAUGAAUUGACCAUGUCAUUAAACAAUUGACGCAGGUUUUGAGAUUUAGUAGUUCUUUCGGAAUUGGCUAGGUUCAAAAUGUUUUGUUUGAAGCUUAUAUCUUUGAUUUACAACUUAGAUUAUGUCCACCGUCAAAGUUAAUUUAAAUAUGUAUACUGAUAAUGAAUUUUAAAAAACUGUCUAUUUUUCUUGACAAGUUUUUUUUUUUGAAAAAAGGAUUCUGGGGAUUGAUCUUCGGUUUAUAUUAUAAUAAAAAAAGAACAGAAAAACGUUCAUGUGUUUUUUAUUCUUCACCAUUAUUGUAAUAUAAAAUUUUUCUGUGUGCUACUAAAUCUGUAUGUGAUUGAUUCGUUAACAGUCUUAUGAAAAUGAAACCAAGAAACAGACAUUAUAAAAUUAAUUAAAGGGAAUGUAAUUGUCACGUGAGUUCAUCAUAUAUUUAGCAAGAUUCCAUAGCAAUCAAUGAUUACAUCUGCGGAAGGAAACACUAGACUGUUUGUUUUCCUAUUCGACCGGCUUGAAUUGAAUACGCUAACAUUUUCAGUGGACCAACCUUUUAGUCUUAAAUAAGUCCUCACCCAACAAAUUGUCAGCACGCACACUUGUUUCUCUUUCUCAAAUAUUUCCCAUCAAAUUAGCAAUUGCAGUUUAUUAUUCUCUGCAUAAUUUUGGGAAAAUCUACUUUGACAAAUACAAGUCAACUCUCUUCAAGAGUUUUAGGACUAAGGGAACUAGGAAAAGAACUUCUCCUGAAUUUUCGACUUUUGCCAUUUGGUACUCUGGCAAAUUUACAUAGAUUCAUCAUUCAAUUAUUCUACUAUUACAUAUUUAGUGAGUGAGGCAAGCAAUUGAGCAUGAUUUUCAAGUUGUAAAUAAAUAAUGGUAAAUUAAAGUUUAUGAGAGUUUGGUGAUUUAGUUCAUCUAAAUUUUUUACCGAGUAUACAAGGGAUGCUGUUUUUAUAAACAUCAGUAACUAGACUUUUUUUGGAAGCAGAAAACACAUUUAUUGUAAGAAGAAACGUGAUUUUACUCAUUAGAAAUAGAGUACACUGGUUUUCAUAUAUCUCUAGAAUUCAUUGGGCACACUUGACACACAUGUUUACACCUGGCUUCGACAGGGAAAGGAGACCUAGUGACAUGUUCUUCGGACAACAAUUCAGAGUUGUUUUACGCUGUUCUAGGAGGAUUAGGUCAAUUUGGAAUUAUAACUAGGGCAAGAAUAGCUCUUGGACCCGCACCAACUAGGGCAAGUAUCUCUUCUUUUUAUAUAUUUGUUUAUUUUAUAAGUCAGAUCUUGUUAGAAAAAUGUUUACAAUAAUUACUUAAUAUUCUUCAAUAUCAUGCUUAGUUAAUGAAAAGUCAAUUGCCUAAUCUUUGCAGGUGAAGUGGCUCCGUUUGCUUUACAACGAUUUCUCUGCAUUUUCUGCAGACCAAGAACACUUAAUCUCGUUCAAUGGAAGAAACGACACCAUUGCUGCUGAUUAUGUAGAAGGUUUCCUUCUGCUAAAUCAGCCACCACUGGAUCUUUCUUCUUUUCCAGCACCCGAUCAACCUCGUGUAACUUCCCUAGUGACACAAUACGGCAUUAUCUAUAUCAUAGAGCUUGUUAAAUAUUACGACAACAGCACACAAGAACAUGUUGACGAGGUAAUAACGUAUAUAAGUUUAGGAACUAAACUUUUAUGAAAGACUUAAGUUAGUUAUUAACUUAUUAUGUUUUUAUAUGUUUGAAUAGGAUGUAAAAGUUUUGGUGGAGGGAUUGAAGUUUGUUCCUACGUUUAUGUUCGAAAAAGAUGCAUCAUACGAAGAGUUCCUGAACAGAGUUCAUGCCGACGAGCUUUUUCUAACAUCACAAGGACUUUGGGAUGUUCCUCAUCCUUGGUUAAACCUCUUUGUUCCAGGAUCUCGAAUCUCAGAUUUCGAUGAAGGUGUGUUCAAGGGCAUUAUUCUGAAGCAAAAUAUCACUGCAGGAGUUGCGAUAAUCUACCCGAUGAAUCGAUCCAAGUAAGUCAUAAGAAAUUAAGUUUGUUUGGUUUGGUAUGCAUAUGGAAUAAUUACCAAAUAUAAUUAAUGUAAAUGCAUAUAAUUAAUCCACAGGUGGAAUGAUCAGAUGUCUGCAGUUACACCUAAUGAAGAUGUUUUCUAUACUGUGUCACUUCUUCAUUCAACUGGGUUUGAUAAAGUGGAGGAAUUUCAAGCUCAAAACCAACAAAUAUUGAAGUUCUGUAAGGAUGCUGGUAUUGAGAUCAAGCAGUAUCUUCCCCAAAACAAAACAAGGAAUGAAUGGAUCAAACAGUUUGGCUCCAAAUGGAAAACAUUCGAAGAAAGAAAAAAUCAAUUUGAUCCCAACAGAAUAUUGUCACCUGGACAGAGAAUUUUCAAUUCAAUAUAAACUAAUCAACGAUGCAAUUUACCAUCGAUUCUAAGAAACUAUUACUUUGUAACUUAUAUGCUAUAAUAAUUUUAUACUAGUUUUUGUAUAAUUAGAAUUUUGAGUUGAUAUUAUGUAUAUUCAUUAUUUUCAUAACAAAUAAAAUAGUUGAGGCCUUAAAAUAACUUUGUUUGAUGGAAGAACACAAAAAAAGUUGUUUUUUUUUUUAAAAAAAAAAUUUGAGGACAUAGUACAUAUAAUGAAUUCUUAUUUCAUUUUUCUUGUUAUUUAGUAACACGAUUUUAGAAGAAUUGUGGUGCUCAUACUUCAUUUAUAUCUUUAUAAUUUUAUCACAUUAUUUACUUUAUAAUUGAUCUAAGAGAAUUUUUUAAUUAAAAGGUGACACUUUAUCUAACUGUGUACAAAUUUUUACAGUUAUAAAAGUGAGAUCCAGAAUAAAUAAAAUUAUUACUAAACUAUAUAAAAAAUGACUUACUAUUGAUAAUGGAAUGAAUCAAUAUUCACUUCCUACAUCCAUCUUAAUCAUUAUCAAUGAAAAAAAAAUCUUUUUGUAUUGUAUUUGAGUUAAGUGUGAGAUAUAUAAUAUCAAUUUUAGAAACCAAUUGAUGUAAUAUGUUGGCCGUGUACAUUCUUUAGCAACUGACGUAAAAAUUGCUUCAAUUUAUGUAUCAAUUGCAUCUAUAUUAAUUGUAUAAUAAUAUAAAAAUUCUAACAUAUAUAAAAUGUGUUUUUUUUUUCUGUAAUUAAAGCACAAGAACUAUUUUCUUUAAGAAAUAUAUAUAGCAUGAAAAAAUCAUUGUCUUAAAAAAGUGCAUAACUUAUUCGAAACACAUUUUCAUUAAAUAAUUAACUAGGAAUGUGAAGAACAUUAUAGCUGUCUUGAAGGUUUGAGUUAUUUGUAAAACCAAACAUGUUCUUACUUACUAACAAAUUUCCUAUUAAAUAAUUAACUAGUAAUUAUGGUGGAGGUUCUUAAUUACUAAAUCUAUUUUUUUUACAGGAGUGAGAAUAAAUUUGAAGGUAAUGUUCAUAAUUAUUUAAAGAAAAAAAAUAAUUUUUUCAUACAUAAGUUAUUUUAUUAUUUUCUAUAUUCCUUUGAAUUUUUAUUUAUAACUAAUACAUAAUAAUAAAUUUUAUCAUCUAAAAUAAGUUAUUUUAUUUUUUUCUUCUCCAUAAAUGCCUACGAAGAUCUUUACUUUUUAACUUCUUGUAAUUCUUUGGAAAGCUUUUAUUUUAUUGGAUUAGUAACACAAAAUAAAAAGUAAGAAUAUUAGUAUGUGGGUAUAUUGAUGCAAUCUGAAACAAACUCCAACAAAACCUUCCCAUAUUAAACAGAUUAGUUAAUUCUAUGCCAUUAAACAGACUCCAAUAGUAAAAGCCUUUAUCAUUAAACCAAACACUAGCUAACCUAGACAGUCAUAAUAACAGACAGCAUAAACUUUUUUGAAUAUUUAACUAUACAACUAUAUAUAUAUACUUGAUUUUUAAUAGAUAAAGCAAUUGGUGACUUUAAGAAUGAAGUAUAAUGAAUUUUUUAUUGCCUUCUGAUCACGGUUGCCCUAAUGAGAUAGCUGCGAUAAAGUUUACACACAGCAAUCCUUUUUUGUUUCACUUUAAAUUAAAAAGAAAAAGAGAAAGUGAGGAGAAAAUUAAAAAAAAGAGAUAUGAUGAGGACAUAUUUUAGGAUUAGAAAGAGUGGAAAAAGGAAAGGAAAGUGAGUAAUUAUGAUGAUGAUGCUCUUUUCUAUCCAUUGUCAACAUAGUAUGAUUCACAGCGUGUGAAUCAUGGGAUUCUGUCAUGGAUUUUCCACAACAAUUAGACAUGAAUCUGUUAAAGCAAAUCUAGUUUAUUUACAAUGGAGGCACCAAAAAAGUCAAAAAAAGAGGAGAAGGAAUUGCUGGGACAUCUCAUAACUUUUCUUGUCUCCAGUUUGCCUGCAAGCUGGAAUUAAGUGUUGCAACAUAAUUAUGCACCCUACCAAUAAAUUAUUACUUACUUCUAAACCAUUAUUUCUAAUCAAACCUUUUGUCUCUCAACUGUUCAAACAAAAUUUUAGUUUUCAUAUAUUAAAGAACAUGAAGACAUCAUAAGUAAGUAUUGGAUCUUGUCUUGUUUAAAAUGUGAAUAGAAAGAUUAGACAGGUUUUAUUAAGAAACCUUUUUAUAGUUAAUUAAAAUUAUAAGAACGACAACUAGAUCAUCAAUUUAUGCUUUAAUUUAAAUGAUAUUUUGAUUAGUAGAUGAAGUCAUUGCUUUAUACUUUUGUGACAACAAAAGCCCUCGUGGGUCUAUCUGAAUCAAAAAGUCAAAAAUUAUUCCUAUGCGAGAACGACAAAAUAUAAGCCAACCCUCAAAGUUUUAAGUUGAUGUGACUCAAGGGAAAAAUGGUUUAUGUGAUAUUCUUUCUGCUAUCAACCAUUCCAACUCACUUUCUCAAAAAGAAGCUACUUAAUUAGUGGCUUAUUAUAAAGUCACCACUACUAAUUUAGUCCAAUUAACAUUAUUCUAUUUUAAGAAUCAAGUUUAUCACAUAUUUAAAAUGGGUUCUAACAAAUAUCCAAAACCCUGUAUUCCUCUUAUGUUAUCUAACAAAAUUGAAUAAAAAAUAACAAAAAGCGUAUCUAACACUCACUUAUACAUUACCAACCACCUUUUAAUAAAGUUUUCAUUAUUCUUCUUUAAGUAUGUCGAAUUGUCAUAACGUCUUGUUCUCCCCAUUGCUUCCACCUUAUUUUGGGGUAUACAGUUUCAUUUUUCUAUAUAAUAAUAUUAUUUGCUUGUUGCUUGUUUUUUGUUUGUUUGAUUUUUUGUGAUAAUUUGAUUUAAGAUGGCAUCAUAUGUGGAUAUAUAAUCUGUGUUUUCCGGAUUAUAAUCAUACCUUAGAGCGGUAUAGAGACAUACUAGUAGCAAUCAGGCAUUCCUGUUCGAGAAGUUUUCCUUUUUUUGAAUAAAAUUUUAUUGACAGAUAAAAAAAAUUGAAGUAUAUAUAUAUAUAUAUAUAUAUAUAUAUAUAUAUAUAUAUAUAUAUAUAUAUAUAAUUAUAUAAAGAAAUGAAUGCAGAAUCGUUACACAUUUAAUGGAGGACCAGAACUCCUUAGAACAUCUUCAACACAUUUUCUCCACACUACUAGGUUUAGUGACUGACAGACAACGUGAGACACAACUUGUGCUUCUUGUACAUAAGACUGUGCCAACCUAUAAUCUAUCUAAAGUACAUAGGAUAACUUAGAUGUCAAAGUAAUGCUGAAUUUAAUACCCCACCUUAAUUUCUCUAGAAAAGACAUACAAAAUUCAUUUUGGUUUCGAUCAUCAUAGUAUGUACACCAGUCCCUACCCAUCUCAUUGAGUAAUAGUCCUCCAUGAACACUUAGGUUUUUUUGUUUUCAUUGGGGGAAUAUUUAAAACGCUGGUUGUAAUUGUUUGUGGAAGAUUUUUUGACCGGGUGAUAGAAUCAUUCUUGGAUCAAACUGGUGUUUUCUUUCUAAGAAUUUCAUCCAUUUGGCACCGAAAUGGUUUGUCCAAUCUUCCUGUGUGCUGUGAUUAGGAAGAUAUUGCUUAACCUUAAUGCCAGCAUCCCUACAGAACUCCAAAAUUUCUCUGUUUUGAGCAUCAUAUGCCUUCCAAGAAUCAAACCCACUUGAGUGCAAAAAUCCAACUGUGUAGAACACAUCCUCGUCUGGUAUAGAUGCUGACAUCCUAUCGUCCCAUCUGGAAUUAAAUUUUAUGGUAUUAUUAGUGACUGUUCUCUUCUGAAUUUCAUUGCAAAUAAAUAAAUAAAUAAAUAAAUGAUGGGAUCGAAUUAAAAAAAAAAUUGCAUCAUUCAAGGCUUACUUGUUUCUAUUCAUAGGGUAAACCAGGACUGGUCCAGAGGAGAUGUUUCUUUUAAGAAUUAUAUCUCUGAAUACUCCUGAAUUAAAAUCCAAGAUCUGAGAUUUUGGUAUAAACAAAUUAAGCCACGGGUGAGGAACCUCCCACAGUCCUUGUGACUGAAGCUUCAACUCUCCACUUCGAACUCUAUUCAAGAACUCAACGUAUGAGACAUUUUUCUCAUAAUAAAAUCCGGGGAUAUAGGCCAGCCCUUGGAGCAGAACUUGAAUUUCCUAGAGACAAAGAAAAGAAAAAUGUUACUACCAUUUAUUAAAUAAUUAAAAUUUAUGUUAUAUAUAAAGAUUUACCACCUUGGUUAUGAAGGUGUAAUCCAAGAAUCACAACAUAUAUACCUAGGCAUUUGCUUUUGACUAGUUGUGGACAGUGUUCUUUUUUUUGAAAAGAAAUGUGAUCUAACUAGAAUAUGAUAUGACCAGAGAGGAUACCUUGUCCAGAUUUUUCUCGGUUUGGUCGUCAUAAUAUUUAGCCACUUCAAGACAGUAGAGGAUGCUGUGUUCAGUUAUUAAUGAAGCUAUUCUGGGAUGGUCAGAUAGAGGGAAGAAAGAGGAUCUCCAAUUAUUUAUGGGGCCUUGGUUCAUUAGCAGCAUCCCUUCCAGAAAAUCCAAUGCAUUCUUUUGUUUCUUUCCAUUGAUUGAGAUUAAUCGUUCCUGGUCUUCGGUAAAAGCAGAAAAGUCACUAUAAAGUAGUCUGACCCACUUAACCUGCAUGCCAACAAAAAUUCACCAUUAACACUGUCUUAUACCAGUAAACUUACACUAACCCAAUAGAAUAUAAUAAAAUGAAAUACACGAGAGAGAGACACGUAUUUAUUGAUGUAUGUAUGUAUGAAUGGAUGUGCACGAGCUCACACCACUAGUCCAAUCAAAAAUUGGAAAGAUACAUGUGGUGCCUAUAAAACAUCCGCAUUCUUCAUGUGUUAAUGUAUCUUGAAGGUCUUUUCAGAAAGAGCACUUGUUGUUUGGUUUGAUAAAGUAGAUAAAUGGAAAGAAUGUGAUCAUAAUAAUACUUGAGUUUUUCUAAUUCUAUCGGUUCAGAGCUUAAGAUCUAAGACUGUUUUUUCAAACUCGUAUUAUGUAUGCUUUCAAUUUCAAAUCCACAUUAAGUGGUUCAAACUCUUACGUACGAAUAACUCGUGUGUUGUUUUCAUUUGUGUAUAUUUUUAUCAUGGAUGACUAAUACAACAACAUAAGAUGAAAUGCACAGUACGUACGUGGGUGCCAACUGCCACUAGGUAGAUAUGUAUAUAUACAAAAUGACUAUUCACCCUUAAAAAUGACAAUUCGAUUUGGCGUCACUAUGAAUUGGUGGUGGAAAAGGCUACAAGACAAAAUUCCAGUCAAUUCUUAUGGACGUACCCUUUUGGGUGCUGCCUCAAGAGCAAUUCUCGCCCUUGCUAUCACUCCAAAUUGUCCCAAGCCUCCAAGAACUGCGUUGAAUAACUCCAAGUUCUUCUGGGUAGAGCAGGUUACGAACUCUCCUUUUCCUGUAACCAAGUAGACGAAAAAAAUUUAUUUAAUUAAAUGCAUGCAUGCAUCAAUUGUGAGAGUAACAUUUUCCAUAGGUUGGUCAUUAAUUAAGUCUUUUCAUAUGAAUGAAUUGACCAAUAAACGAUUUGACCAACAUUAAGUUAAUACAAAACUAUGACCGUGGACCUGGUUACUAAUUAACCCAUCGCUCACCCAUAUUGUAGACAAAGACCAUUCCUGUUCUAGAGUUCACCAACCACUUUAACAGGUUUUAUAAGACUACGUGUUCAACAAAAUCAUAUCUUAUACAUUUAGCAGAACAUCUACGACGACACACCAUGUCAUAUCAUAAGAGACAAAAUUGAAACAGUUCAAGAAGACUUCACCUUUCUCAUUUUUUCAAACUUUCGACAUGAACACGUUCUCUCGAGAAAACCAGGCAAUACAUUUGAAAAACUUAAAUACAAUGACAGGUACGGUUGCCAUUGUCUCUGAUUUUGGUCACUAAAAUUCCAACAAUAAUUACCGAGACAAGAUGUAGGAGAAAUUGCGGAGAAACUGCAUACCUGUGAUAACAUCCAUUUCAUGAACGUUGCUGAUUUGAGGUCCAUAGCGGAAACUCUGGCCACUGAUUCCAGCGUUGGAAAGUGUUCCUCCCACGGUCAAGUACAAGUAAUCAGUCCAAGAAACGGGUGCAAGUCCAUGUUCUAGUGAAGCAUGUAGCACAUCAAUCCAGAGUUGUUCCCCUCCAACAUCAGCAUAGUGACCUAUCAAAGGGUCUUUAGAGACAGUGAUCGAAACCCCAUUUCUUUGUUUUCUCAGUGUGGCCAUGUCAACCACUACCCCAUCACGAGCCAUGGCUUGUCCUUGGGUGGAGUGGCCUUGGCCCCUCGCUGCUAUGUGAAAGGGGACAAAGCUGUUGUAGGAGGUUUUUAUCAAGGUGGCUAUGUCAUCUAUGGAAGAUGGAUGAAAGACAGCUGCCGGGAGCUCAUGCACGAUAUGGCCGUAGUCCGUAGAAGCCAUCUGAAUGGUUUCGGGGUCAUCACGAAGCUUAUGGAAUAUAUUUUCAAUGUCAAGAUCUGGAAGAAUCAGAGCUUUCCGUUGCUCGGUUUUGCCCACUGUGUAUAUCAAACGGGUUAUGGUUACUAGAAGUAGUAUGAAGCAGGUUGAAGAAGGGUAAUUCAGAGCCAUUUUUAGAGAGAGAGAGAGAGAGAGUACUAGUUGUGUAGAAGAAGAAGAAGAUGAUUAGAAGAAAAGUUUGGUGUGGUGGUGUGGUGUGGUAGUGGGUGAAGGGAGGUGCUAUAAAUAGAAUGAGGGAGCUUGCAUGCGAAAAAGAGGGUUUGGGAAUAGAAAAAUGGUUUUACACACUUAUUGGGGCUGUAUUCAUAUAUGAGGAUGGAUCGUGGAAAAUAGAAAUAAGAAAGAAAGUGAGAAAAAGUGUAGACGUAAGAGGUGAUGUGAUUUAGAAGAAAGAAAAAAAAAGUUUAAAAAUAGCGUAGGUAAUUACAAAUAGAGCGUGAAGGUAAAUUAUAGAAAUUAUAUUGCGCAGAGAAUGGGGUGGCUAAGUGUCAAAUUCAAAGGUAUAUAUGAUGGAAAUGGAAGCGGAUAAUAAUUAAUUAAUUAAGAUUUGAGUACGUGUUUGUUGUGAGAUUGUGAACGAAUGAUGAUGUAUGAGGAAGAUUCCCAGCAAUGGAAGAUUUGAACCCACAGAUUUGUAGAAUAUAUAUAUAUAUUUUUAUUAGCACUUGGUAUUUUAAGGAUGAAAGUGAGUGAAAAAUAGGUAAUUAUGAAAAGGAUCUCUUAAGAUAUGUUUUGGGUAUUUUGCAUCCAACUUUUGUGGGUCGUGGAAGGGUAAUAAGAAUGGAAACGGAGGGAGACAUCACACCGGAUUUUCUUCAGGCCAAGAUUUUGUCUGUGACCAUCCAAACCAACAUGUAAUCAAUGAAAAGUCAAGCAGGGAACUGAACCUAUAAUUAUACCCACCAAUCUUUCUCUCUCACUACACUUAUAAUUCACUUAACACCUUUCCAUCAUAUUCUUUUCCCUCACACCCUCAUUAAAAUAACUUUCUCCUAUUAUUACAUUGCUAAUUACAACAUUAAUGUUUAUUAUCAUUAAUAAUUACUUCUCCCCCGCUCUAAAUAUACCUAAUUCGCCGCUUCUGAUCUUCUCCUGUCUUUUACAUUAUAUAAAAAAUUCCAAGAAAAUAACGGCAUGCCAUGCACAUGCAUGAUGGCUACUAAUUUAAUUUCGCUUCUCCCUUAUAAUUUCUUAUGUAUGAUAACAAAAGGGGACAAAAGUAAAUACUGUUGAGAGAAUGUCAGGAUACUAUGAACCAUAUAUAAAGAAUAUAUUAUGUAUGCAUCAAAUUGGUCUUUGUUGAGUAGCAGCUGAAUUAUUAAUUAAACAAAUUCGACAAAGAAAAGUAAGAGAUCUGAGUUCCUAAACAAGGAAUUGUAUAAGGAAAUUUGACUAACAACUAAAGGGCGUUCAAUGAACAAUCUUUGACUUGUAGAUCACGCAGGUAAGAGGAGCUAUCAGCUGAUAACAAGACCUUCCACCAUGCAAGUCUCUCUGUGUAACCAUAUUCUACUAAUGCUUCCAAUUCAAGAUUGUAAUCUUUGACGAUGAAUGCUACAUGCAUACUCACAUUCUUGAAUUGAUCAAACAGUAGCAGUUCUUGUUAGGUUCUACCUAAUGAAAGAAAAAGAGUGAAAAGAGUGAAAAGAAAGAGUUGGUCUUGGUAAAAUUGAUAUAUUGAAGUUAACGAGAAAUGAAAUAAAUAUUGUAGUACGAUGAGUGAUGAGAAUGUGCAAUGAAGCAAAGGUUUCCGUUUGUGAUAGAUCCUUGUAAAUGAGAGAUGUAAAGGCAUAUGACAGAGAUACACAUAUCUUGACCAAUUAUACAUAGACAAAUAUGAAAAGGGGAGAGGGGGCUGUCCCUUGUCGUUUAGUUUGAAAGUGGUUUUAAAAUUUAUACGAGCUGUUGUUUUGCAGGUUCAGUACAAACAAAGACACAAGUUUUGGCAUGCCAGUUAAUGCUAAUAGAAGGAAUGAAACAAAGUAAGACAAUGCCGUGUACUGCAAUGGGAAGUAGAGGGGGGACUGUUUCUUAGAUAUUCAAGAUCUUUUUGGAGAUCUAUCACGUGGUCCCAAAAACAAACCCAACGAGAAAACAAUAACAUUUCAAACAAAAAUAUUCAUUUCACAUUUCCAACCAUAUCAUCUCAUAGAUUCUCAAUCCUGCUUCAAACCAACCUUAUCAUCAAAACCGUAUCUUCUUCCAGAUCAUCACUGAACCUCUUAAUCACUCACUUUUUUUAAGGUAAAAAACAUAUCAAAACAAAUCAUACUACACUGUCAACUUUCUUCAUAUAAAUAAAUCAAACUUGUUUUGCAGGAAACUUCCUCUCAUAUUGGAUUUCCUUCUUUUCAAAAACCUCUUCAAAUUUUAGUUUUAUAUUCAUUCUAGUUCAACCAAAUUAUCUCAUUCGAAUAUUAUUAUUAUUAUAUAAGAGGAACUUUACAUUAAAUUCAUCAUAGAAAAUAUAAUAUAUAUGUAUACUAGUGGGAGGGAGGGACCUACUGUUCUCAUUUCCUGCACAUGUUACUUUCAAUUUUGAUUUUGGAUAGAUUAUGAAAAUAGAAAAACAAAAAGCUCGAAGUAGUAGUAGUGUACGUACUACAUGGUGCAAUUUUGUAUCAGUAUAUAUAUAUAUAUAUCUCAUCUUGACUCACUCCAUAACUCAUUAUAAAGUUGUUGAUAAAAAAAGAAGAAGAAGCUCUCCAUAGAUAUACAAGUCAAUACUUAUAUUCCAAGUCGCCACAAUACCUAUUUUUAUUGUAAUAGAUUUCACUUUCAUGUCAAGAAUAUUAAAGAGUUAGUGCGAUCGAUGUAUUCACUAAAAAGUUAUAAAUUUGAUAGUACUUUUAGGGUUAGAGCCAUUCUUUUAUAUGAUAACGUAGUUUUCCUUAACAGGUGUUUAGAAGUUUAUCGUUAAUAUUCAUUUUCGUUUUAUCUUUAGUUCUUUUUAUUUUAGUUUUAAAUUUAAUAAACACUGAGAAAAAAAACUUGAUGAUUUCAAACAAUUUCUUAUAUAUAUAUAUAUAUAUAUAUAUAUAUAUAUAUAUAUAUAUAUAUAUAUAUAUAUAUAUAUAUAUAUAUAUAUAUAUAUAUAUAUAAUAAUUUAUUUUUAUAAUGACUAUUUGAAAGUUAUAUCUGGUAAAUUUUGUUUAUCUAUAAAUUUUUAGUUUCGUAUAUAGGUUUGAAUACUUCAUGUCCUUCUUACAUAUUAAUUCUGUUUUUUUAGUGAUAAAAAAAGAGUAAUUAAACUUUGGUUAUCUAUAUUAACAAUACAUAAAAAUUAAAUCCUAAACUAGUUUGGUUUGUCCAUGUAUUUUGGUUGAUAUUUAAAUUUUGGUUAUUCAAAAUUUCUAAACGUAUGAUAAUGAAACUGCGAAAAGGCUUUAGUUAAUUGAUACAUGUAUUUUGGUUUGUCCAUGUAUAUCCAUUAAGUAAACCUGUCAUCAAGCACUAUAUAAUAUAUAUGGAGGUUAGAAGAAGCAUCUCAUAAAGACAUAUUUAUAUACCUGUAAAUAUAACCACAGAAGUUUCAAUAAUAUUAAAAAUCGUCAUUUACUUUAUAUUAAAAUCUUGAUUUUAAAAAUAUAUGGUUUAUAUUGAUAAAGUACGAAAUUAUUCUUUUUUUUUUCUUUUUUUACGAUCAACGUUUUUUUUUUGUUACGCUUAAGCAAUUAAUUUUUUAAGAACAAGAUUAAUUGUUAAAGUAUAAAUUUUGAUAGAGAAACGCAAUACUCAUAAAUUUAAGAAUUAAAUGAAAAAUUAUUGCAAAUUUCAAUAAGUGUCUGCCUCGCCUCAUCAUGUGUGUGGUUGAAAAUAAAUAAUUUCAUAUUUAGUAGUAUAUUUUCAUAUGGGAAAGUUAUGUUUUUCUUCCAUGUUUUAAGCAAUUUUAUUGUCAUGAAAAGAAAAACGAGUAUAUUUUAUUUAUUUUUUAUUUACGAUAAUUGAAAAUGGAUUUUAUAAUUCGGUGUAAUUUUAAAAAAUAAUUUAGAAUUUUCUAUACAGCGGUUAAUUUGGUUGUCAGUUAAACUACAUUUGAUUAAAUUUAAAUUAUUUCAACUACUAUAAAUGACAAUUUUAUUUUAAAACACAUUUUCUAAUAUCAGAAAUUGUAAUUCAAUUCAGUUCAGAAGCAGUUCCUCUUUCAGAAACUGAAUUGAAAUAAGAAUUGGGUGUAAUUUUUAAAAAUAAUUUAGAAUUUUCUAUACAGUGAUUAAUUUGGUUGAAUCUUGUUUUUUUUUUUUUUUACUAUUAAUGUGGUUCGAAGUAAUUGUUCUUGAGUCUUGACAGUGAGAUAUUAUCUGAAAAAGAAUGUUUGAAGAGAUGGAAUUUGCUUAAGAUUGAUUCAUGCACAUAUGCAUGUAAAUUAAUGCACCUAAUAUAAUGAUUAGAGCUGAAUUUAACUGUUAAUGAGUCUUGGACAAUAUGAUUAUCACUGACCAGUUCGGUGUCUCUUUAAGCAAACAUUCACUUUUAAACUCACAAUCUUCUUGCUUCCAACGCACUCUUUGGGAUCGGAUAUUAAUAAUAUACAAUUAGGUCAUAUUCUUCUAUGCCUAAAAGGGCCCUGCCAUUGAAUUUCUUACCCAGCCACUUCAUACUCAACUAGUUAACUCAUGCAUGCAUAUCCAUAUAACAAUGUCUUUGUAUGUAAUGUGAAUGCAACAUCUAAAUGUGUAAUUUAGUAGGAACGAUUAGCUUCAUAAGAUGAAAUGUGUAAUUUAGUAAGAGUGAUGUUAUUUAAUUAAAUAUAGAUUCAUUUUCAACUUAAUAUCUUCAAGAAAUGAUUUUAUGAGUUUCUUUUUAUAUAUUAUUUAAUUUUCUUUUUAUUUUUACUUUAUGAAACUUAAAUUUAUUCAUAGUUAAAUUCAUAAGAAGAUAUAAUAAGAAUUAUGUUACAGUUUCACCCAAGACAAAAAUUUUCAAACCAUAAACUUAUUAGGAAAGAUUUGCGAUAAUGAAACAUUAAAUAUGUAAAAUCACUUAUUCUUUAUCUUAUACCUAUAUUUAUACAAGUAUAAAAAACACAAUUUUUGUACGAACAUGUUUUUUUUUAAAAAAAAGGAGACAUUGAUUAAAAUUCAUAACUAAGUUCCCCCAAUAAAUAACUACGGUCACAAAUGAAUAUAGAAAGAUUACAAAAAAACUUCAACGAUAAAGCGAAGACAACAAAGAUGCAAAAAUAAAUAUCCAAACCUCCACUAUUUCAUCAUCGGAGAUCAAACCCUAAUUCACAUAAGAGUUUUCAUUGUUUUCACCCAAUAAGAAAUGAGGAGCGAACUAUGAUUCUAAUAUAUAAAAAAAAAAAUUAUGACAUACAAUAAGGCAUCCAAUGUAAAUUGCUUUCACUUAUCUACAAAAAUAUUACUGUAAUUUUUAUGGGAGUUUUCUUCUUGUCAUGCUUAAAUUAGGUAAUGUAAAUAUUUAUUUUUCUGUUAAUGAAUAUGAGUGGAUAAUUAAGAAGAAGAAUAAUAGAUGUACGGUUAUAAAUUUUUUAGUUAGAAUGAAAUAUUGUAUAUGGUGACAUGUUUUUGUUUUAUAUUUCUUAAUAUACAUAUAUUUUCAAUAUGAACUUAGACAACCCAAUUACUUCUUUCAAUAUAUUUAUAUAUAUUGUUAAUUAUAUAUAAUUUGUAUCUAGUUAUACGUCAUAUUGCACGACUCAAAUAAUUUUGAUCAGGUCACCUUAUUUCAAAUUUCUCGUCGUUGUUAAUUCAUUUGUUUGUUCCAUUUGUUAGUAUUGCUACUAAAUUUAAAUUUAGGCACUCUUUAAUUCAAGUAAUCUAUUUUUCAGAGAAACCUAAUUUUCCAAUAAUGUAAGAAAAAUAUUUCAAUUCACGGGAUUAUGUCUUUUGAUGAUCAACUUUAAGAACCAAACCUCUUUUACUCUCUCUCUCUCUUCACCUAAUCUAGUUCAUAAGGAACAAAAAUUACAGUCUGUAACAAAUAUCUUCUCUCAAUAAUGUAAUUCUGUCUUGAAAAAUGAGCUUAAAAUACGACAAUGUUUCCUCCAACUAAUGUCUCACUUUUGAAAUUAAGAUUUGGAGAAUAAAAUUAUGGUCAAGCACCAAGUUCAUUAUAAAAAAACAUGCAUCACAGUAAAGCAUAGCUGUCGGCAAUUACUAGUUGUUUAGCAAGUUGUUUUUAAGUAAUCCAUACACACCUGAAUAGGCUACUUCUUAGAAAUUUUCUAUUGAGAUGUACAUAGAUUUUAGGUGAUUGUACAAAAUAAAAAUUAAUUUUAUAAAUAUCUAAAUAUUUAUUGGUUUUAAUUUUCAAAGUGCACUUCACACUUUCAUUUAUUCUACUACAAUAAGAUAUACUUAUAUUAUUAAUUUAUCACAAUACAUUUUCACAUAAUCUAUUAUUGGAUUAUAUUUUUUUCAUUUGAGUCGGACAUCAAGACAAAUAAAAAAAUGAAAUAUGAUUUAAUUAUAUAAUUUUUUUUACCUUAUAUUCGACACAAAACUUUAAGGCUUUUUUUUUGGAUGAUUCUAUUAAUGCUUAUAUAUGUGAGAAUGAUGAGCAAAUAUAUAGCUUCUUUGGUUAUGGUGAUUUGCAACUAUUUGAAGUAGCGAAUUUAUUAGAAUAUGAUUUUAUCUAUUUAUGUAUCAUAUAAGAGAUAUGUAGAGAUAUACUUUCGAAGAUUUAGUGAAAGACCAAAAUACUCUUGCCUAACAUGAGAUUUGGAAAAAUGUACUUUACAUAUACAAAUAUUUUUGGAGAACGAAAAUCAAUUAUGUUGAUAUGAAAUCAAUUUUGAGUAAUUAAAAAAAAAACUAAAAUCGAUUCUUCAAUAUUAGAAUCAGUUAUCCAUUUAUAUAAAUUAAUAAGAUGGUAAGUUGAAAACAACUUUAGGUUUUUUAAUCAAUGAAUCAAUUUGUUUUAAAAAUUAUUAAUUUGGAUUUUGUUUUAAAAGAAUUAUCUGUAAGUUCAAGUGGUGUUAUUCAAGUACAAUUUUAUUUUGAAAAAAGCAUCAUGUUAGUGUACGACUUUACAUGAUGAAAAUUAAGUUAUCAAAACAUAUAAUUACUUUUAUAUAAAUUAAAAUUUUGAAUUGAAGUUGUAGAUAACAUAAUUGAUUUUUAACUGAAAUUAUUAUUUAUUUAUAUAACGAUUUCAGUAUACUUAAUUUUGAAUCGAAAUUGUUAUUUUUUUUUCUUUUAAAAAAAGCUAAAUAAAUAAUUUUGAAAAUAAAUGGACUCUGUUAGAUUAAAAAAACCAAACAACUGUCGCUUCUUUCAUAUCAAGAUUAAAAUACUCAAACUCAAAUUUUAAAAAUGUAUUGUGAUAUUCUAUCAAAACAAUUGCUUUUGGUUGGACCUAACAAAAAAAUAUACUGUUAAACUAAUCGCAGAAGUUUAAUAACAUUAUCUUAUGUUGAAGAUGUUUUAUCCUUAACGUGAAGAUGUGUUACAAGUCUUAGGUCUGGCAGUAAAAUCACAAAAAUAAAAUAUAUAUAAAUUGUGGAAAGUUACUUAAAUUGAAAUUCAAGGAAUGUUAAUGUGUUGAUUUGACAUUCUUCGUAUUAGCUAUUUAAACUGGUUUGGUAAAUUCAUUUUUAAUCUAAUAAUUUUUUAAUAUUAUUAUUAGACUAACUAAUUUUAUAUUUUUGUAAAAAUUGUUUUUAAAAGUUUUAAUUUUAAGAAUAGAUUAUAUUACUUAACAAUUUUGAAAAAAAAAUUGAUUAAUUUAAUAAUAAUUUGAAUGGGAGGUGUAAAUUUAGUAGAGAGAAGCAUGAGAUUGUAAAAUAUUAGAUAGGAUGAAUGUAAUAAAAUAAUUGAAUUGAAUGUAUUUAUAGAUAUAUUGAGUUAAGUUUAAAAAUGUGGUUGAAAGAGUAGUUAAAAUUAUGGAGAAAGAUAAAAAAGGAAAGUAAUGAGUGAGUUCCCUUUGGAAUUUUGCGGCAGAAAACGUACAAGUUCCGUCAGAAAACUUUGGUAUAUCACUUUAUUGAAAGUCCAAAAGCUCUCUCCAGGAUGCUUACGUUACGGUAAAAUGUCUACAUAAUGCAUUAUUCUAUCAUGAAAAACAUCAAAUCAGUGUCGAAUUUAAACUAAAAUUCUAACAUUUAAGGUAGAUUUUAUAAUUGAGUAAAAUAGUUAAAGAAAAAUAUAUUAAUAGAAUAAGUAGAAAGUAUUAAAGUUAAUAAAGGGUAUAUAUGUGGGUAUCUGUUUCCCAGUGGGUGACGAGUGAAAUUUCCUAGUAACAGAUCCUCUGCCAUUGCCAACUCACAUCGUUAAAACAAACUUCAUUAACACUUCACUAAUAAUAUUUCUAUUUUUUGGUUAAAAAAGAAAGAUUUGUUGUUAUUGAAUCAUGAACUAUAAAGGUUUGUUUGUAUACAUUGGUUCACGUAGAAACGUUUAGUUUUAUGUUGUAAUUAGCAUCUGUGAUAAGCAUGAUGAGUUUUUGGCCCCUAAAAUUACUGAUAGAUGAACCUCUGAUGAACGGAGCCUAAGAGCUUGCCACCUUCCAUCUUUUUCAACCAAAGAUCUAAAACUGUAGAAAUACAGCAAAAUAGUUUCAACAGAAAAAGUGGCACCACAAUCACUUAAACAUGCGUCUGAACAAAAGCAAAGUGGUUGUCAUAUUGCGUUCACUUGUACUUUUUUUGUUCAUCUUUUAAAGUUGGAUGGAGAGUUAAAAUUGAACGUAUGACAUGAAAUGUCCGAGUGUAGUAAUUAUUUUGUCGAGAGGGAAUACAGUCUAUUAGGUUUAUGUGUAAAGAAAGUGGCAUGAGAAUAUUUGUGGUAAUGAUCUCAAAAGAUUCUAAAGACGAUCUCGCAUGCACGAGUGGAGAAACAUACAAAAAUGAUGCUAUCAUAAUUAAGUAAGAGCUCAAACAAAAACACCAACAUGGUUAGGGCAAUUUUCCUUCACUCUCCUUUCAUGCUAAAGCAAUAUAUUCAUCAGUGGAGAAACUCUUUUCCCAUGUGAACGUUAAAGCUUUUCAAAAUACAAAAACAAGAUGCAUUCACAUUGCUUACUAUAUAUCAUAACACGUUAUUCAGAAACAAACUUUAUAUGAGACUGUGGACCUCAAAAAUAUAUAUGGUGGAGGACAGUGAGUUGCUAGCAAAUCGUUUCUCCAAACAUUUUCUUAUUAAUAUAUAUACCACCUUUCAUAUCUUAAAUUUCUCCAUUUUUCACGUGAUCCAUCACUAUGUUUCCUUAUCUUACCUUUCUUUAUCAAAAAUCACAUAUCUAUUCAGACAACCUUAUUUCAAUCAGACAACAUAUAUAUAUGUUCACAAAUUAUUAAUUAGAUACUGUAAAUUUUGUUUUUCACAAUGUAAGAACAAUUGACAGCGUGUAGGUGUGCUUGAUAUUUCUAUUUGAAUUCUUAUUAAUUUUAUUUAUUUACUUAUAAGUAUCAUCAUUUAUUAUGUUUUUAAAUUGAGUAAUUAUAGUUUGAUUUUUUCCAUUAUCAAGUCAUUAUCUUAUUUACUUGUUAGAUACAACACUUUUUUUGUUAAUAUAGAAAAUGAUAUUAUAAUUAAUGUAAAAUAACAAAUAAUUUUUAUUUUUUCUAUUGAAAAUCUGUUAAUAGUUAGGUUGUUGUUUUCUUUGAUGACCUCCAUAUAAUUAUUUGAAAUUACUGUUAAACGGAAAAAUUAAAUUGCAUAAAAGUAAUUAAAAAAUAUAAAUUUUUUUAAGUAUAUUCAACAAAUAAAAAUAAUAAUGAAAAUAUUGAAAUUUAAUUAAAUAGUCAUGAUUAUAUUUUUAAAUAUUUACAAACAAUAUGAUGCCUAUGUUGGGUGCCAAGUAAUCCAAGGGCUUCCAUUGAUGAUUAUUUUUUCUUCAUGAAGUGUAUUAUUGCAAACUUAGUUGAAACCUAUUGUUUUGCCCCCAACUUAUUGAAUUUAUAACUUGCGUAUCUUUUUAAAGUUAUGUAUUAUGAAUUAUGAAGAAAAGAAACUGAGGAAGAUAAGAUAACACUGAUUGUGAAAGAUCGAGUCACUGAUCUUUUUGUCGAUUGUAUAAGUCUACAAAAGGUGUUGCAUGUGAUCAAUCUUUAUCAAACACAUGGCUGAAUAUGAAAUUAACUACAUUUUCCUUUCAAAAGGAUAUCAUAAAUCCUGCUGGAGAUAUGACAAUUGCAUUUACAUAUUUUUUAAUAUCUUAAUUAUAUUUUUAGGAUAUUUGUCUGAUAAUAGAAAUAAAUUUUAUUUAUUAAAUUAUCAUAUAUCUUGCUUUCACUUUUUUAAUAUCAAUUUCCACCAUUUUUUAUUCUUAUUUCGAACUUCUUAGCUUUUAUCCAUUCGCAAGAACUUUAAUAAUUUAUAAGACUUGGAAGUUUCAAAGAAAAAAAAAAAAUCACAUCCAUUCAAGUUGUUCUUCAUUAUUUCAAAACAUCUUUCUUUUCUUCAAUAAAAUCAACUAAUGAAAAACUACUGCUCCCCCACCCUUGCAAAUAUGCUAACACAUACUCUUAAAGCUUUUAUAGCCUAUUGGAAUAAAAUGUUACUCUCUCUAAACUUAAAUACAAAUAAAAAAGGUGUUUAUGUUCGAUAAAUUUAAUUAUAAAUUAAUUUUCAUAAACAUAAUCUUAUUCAAUGCCAUUUAUUUUACACAUAUUAAAAUUUCCACCUCAUCUAUGAUUAAGGUUAAUCUGAAAAAUAUAUUAUAAGAUUAAGAGAAGUUUAUAAAUAAUAAAGUUUGUCGGUUAGAAAACAUGGCUUCUCCCUUUUAAAUCCAAAGCUUGUGUUAGACAGCUAUAUUAUUCAUUUCACGAGAUAAAUUAUUAAAACAUAAUCUUUUAACAAUUUUUUAUUACCUUGGUUAAAUAUUAUAUUAAAACGAAUAAACUAAGAUAUUUAUUAAAUGAAAAGUGAUAUCUAUACUGAGGUUGAUUUUUUUUUCCUAAAUUUGAACCAAUAAUAUGAACAGUUUUUCAAUUUCUACUUUUUUAUUCUCAAACAAAAAGGAAACCUAAAACCCCACCCAACGUUGGUUCAGAGUAUUUGAAGUCUUAGGUAAAAAUUGUAUUAGGGCUUGUUUGGUUUUUCACGUUAUCUUUCGUAAUGCUUGAGACAUGAUUAAAUAUUAUUCAAUAAAGAUUCAACUUGUUAUUGUUUUGAGGAGACUAGUCGACACUAGCUUACGUACACAUCAUAUCUAAAUACGUUAGUACGUUAGACUAAUUUGAUAUAUGUUGAAUUUAUAAAUUUUCAAACUUAUUUGAAAUUUGUUCUCCUUACAUUAAUUUUUGCCACCAAAAUUAUACGUUAGAGCAUAUAGAGUAUGUUUGGGUCAAUAAACACAAAAUAUUGAUAGAAACAUGAUUUCAUAAAUUAUUUAUAAUUAAACUUGAAGUUGAAGUAAUUUGUGUUCAAAUGUUUUUAUGUUAAAAACAAGUUUGAGGUAAAAUUUAAUAGAAAAAAAUUGAAUCUAUCAGAAAAAAUUAACCUUUUAUCAUUUCUUUAAAUGAAUAUUAGAAUAUCAUAUAUCUUUAUUAAAAUAAAGUUUCAUACAACAAAUCCAAUUUGAAUACUUCCACACCUUAAAACCAAACAUGAUUUUUUUUCUGUUAAAAGUUGGAAGCCAAUCAGAGAAUAAACAUACAACGAACUUUUUUUACUUUAUUACUAAGAGGAUAUGACUUUUCAACAUUCGACGAAUCUAUUUUUAGAUUAUUCCGGUUUUGAUACCAUGUUAAAAGUGAGUUUUAGGUCUAAUUCAAUCCCACAAAACUGGUUUAAAGGUGAGAUCCGUAUCCCACUUAUAUAUUAUAAAUUGAUCUUAUCUCUAAUCGAUGUAGGACUUUCAAUAUAUACUCUUUUUACACAUUAGAGAAAUUAUAUUAAAACUUGGAAGAUAAAGGUUCAAUCUUUAGUUCUUGCAAAUUAAAGAAUGAGUUGUAGAGGAAUGGGCGUUUGAUGGUUGCGCAUAAAGGAGAUGAGAUUUUGAGUGGGGGAGGGUGGUGAAAACAUUUUUAAACUAAAGUGAUUUUACAUGAGAAAAUUGAAAAUGAAGUUUUUUAUGUUUUGAAAAGUUUAAAUGAGUUAACUCUGGAUAAUAAAUAAUUAACAUUAGAAUAAAUUGAGACAAAAAUAAUACAUUUAGAAUUACAACAAAUAGUGUAUCUGAAACAGAAAUUUCAUAUAAAAAUCAUAUCGCAAUAAUUUUUUUAUUUGUAAAAGAGUGUGAUAAGAAACUUUGGAUAUAGAUGGUAUAAAUUUUGCAUACUGUAUAACAUAUGAUUGGGAUAAAUGGGACAAAUUUCAUUAGUUCCUAAAAUGAUUAUGGAGAAGCAAGAAGCAGGAUUUGGUUUUGGAUGAUUGAAAGGCCAAACAGUGACCUAUUUAUAAUAGGCACUGCAUCAACCAUCACACACCUGAACUGCUCAUGUCACAACAGCAUCUUAUUUGGCACCACUCCCACUCUCCCAUCAACCAAAUCUUUUCUCCCUUCCUUUUCACUAUCUCCCAAUCAUAUCAUUUCCUUCUCAAAAUUCCUUUUGUACAAAUUUAAAAUCAAGCCUUCAAAGAUUCUCAUACCAGUACACCACUCAUCUUCUUUUAACUCAAUAAUCAUAUGCUGCAAAAACCAAAGUUUCUUUUUUCUGGAAGUAAAAUGGUAUGACUGUUUUUUAAGUUUUAUGAGGUGCGUAAAGAAAUCAUGAAGGUGCAGAAAGUAAACCCCCUAUGGCCUACUUAUUGGGGGCUUGUCGGCCCAAGUGGCUACAUUUUUGUCAAAACAGCACAAAACAAAAAUCAUGGGAGUAUGUUACAGAUGAAGAGGUUUUGUGCACUGGGUGAUAGAGUAACUAUGCCAUGGCGCUUCAACCAAUUCCAUUGAAUUGUUCAUCCUCCACACUCUGUCGCUCUUCUUCUCUGCAUUCUCUGUUUUUCCAACCCCCAACUCUUGUUACUAUCAAAUUCAGAGUUUCUUGUUCGAACCAGACAGCGGGAGUUCAGACUCAACAAGUGAAGACAGUGAAGAAGAAAAAGAAGACCAAUCAUAGACCAAGCUUCUUUCAUCAAAUUCAAGAUAAAUGGUCUCAUAAAUUGGGGUCCCAAAGAGAAAAAUUUCCAUGGCAAGAAUUGCAAGACGAGGAGGAACAACGACACCAACACCACCACCACC
rnacentral:lncRNA from 1 species